UGCACCAAACUGCACUGACUCGAGGCUGCA
rnacentral:piRNA from 1 species